CUGAGGCUGCCGCUGCCUCCCCUCGGUGCCUGAGACCCAUUCCAUCACAGGCUCUUAGCGGGUUUUAUCUGGCUAAUGAGGUAUCUUUUUGUAGUCCUCUUAAAAGUAGCCACAGAAAUUAACAACUCGGGUUUUUCUUUAACAAGGGUGAGGACACUUGAGCGGAAAUUAGAAGCAAAAAUGAUCAAGGAGGAAAGCGACUACCACGACCUGGAGUCGGUGGUUCAGCAGGUGGAGCAGAACCUGGAGCUGAUGACCAAACGGGCUGUAAAGGCAGAAAACCACGUCGUGAAACUGAAACAGGAAAUCAGUUUGCUCCAGGUGCAGGUCUCCAACUUCCAGCGAGAGAAUGAAGCCCUGCGGUGCGGCCAGGGCGCCAGUCUUACCGUGGUGAAGCAGAACGCCGACGUGGCCUUGCAGAACCUCCGGGUGGUCAUGAACAGCGCACAGGCUUCCAUUAAGCAACUGGUUUCCGGAGCUGAGACACUGAAUGUUGUUGCCGAAAUCCUUAAAUCUAUAGACAGAAUUUCUGAAAUUAAAGACGAGGAGGAAGACUCUUGAGGACCCCUGGGUGUUCUCAGCAUGAAGCUCCGUGUAUGCCCUGAGGUCACCACCGCUUGAUCUAAAUGUGCAGUUGUGUCCUUAAAUAUGCAGUCUUCACACAGAGUAAAGUGUUUAUCGCAAGAGUCCAGUGUCGUGCCCUCGGCCAGUUCUUGGCCUCCGCAAUGGGAGCAGCCCUGGCCGAGUCGUCUCUGUGGUUUCUAUGCAGCCCUUCUUGGCGAAAUUCCUGCGAUCUUAUAGAUUCUAAUGAGCUCUUGGAAGACAUUGUCAUAAAAGCCAGCGAUUUUAAGAAAAAGAGUGGUUCUGGA
rnacentral:sRNA from 1 species